AUAUAAAAAAUGAGGGCCGGGCGCAGUGGCUCAAGCCUGUAAUCCCAGCACUUUGGGAGGUCGAGGUGGGUGGAUAUCGAGGUCAAGAGAUUGAGACCAUCCUGGUCAACAUGGUGAAACCCCGUCUCUACUAAAAAUAUAAAAAAUUAGCUGGGCAUGGUGAUGUGUGCCUGUAAUCCCAGCUACUUGGGAGGCUGAGGCAGGAGAAUUGCCUGAACCCAGGAGGCAGAGGUUGCGGUGAGCCGAGAUCACGCCAUUGCACUCCAGCCUGGGUAACAGGAGCGAAACUCCAUCUCAAAAAAAAAAAAAAGUAUAUAUAUAUAUACACACACGCAUAUAUAUAUAAUGAAAGUUUUAGAAAUACUGAGAAGAAGCCAACAUAAAAGGAAAAGUAAUUCAAGGAAACAUUGUAGGUCGAUUGUGGUGGCUCAUACCUGUAAUUUCAGUAAUUUGGAAGGCCAGGGUGGGAGAAUUACUUGAGGCCAGGUGUUCAAGACCAGCCUACAAUUCUUUUUUUUUUUUUUUUUGCCAGGUAUAUGCCUGUGGUCCCAGCUGAGGCUGAGGCAAGAGGAACACUUGAGCCUGGGAGGUCAAGGCUGCCGUGAGCAGUGAUGGCACCACUGCACUCUAAGCUGAAUGACAAAGUAAAACCCGUCCCCCCACAGACACAAAAAACAUUUUUUAAAGGAGAAAAGGAAACAUUCUACAUGAAAAUGGUGAACGUGGCUGAAGUAUUGGGAAAGUUUAGUCCACUGCAGAUAAGACUUGGAGCAACGUGCAACUAAAUCAGCUCAAAAAGAACAUGAGGAUUUGGAAGAACUGAUUUGAAGAUAUUAGAAGACAUUUCACAAAAGUCCUAGUUUACAUUGUUGCACAGACUUGAGCAAUGCUAAUAAAUUGCCCUGGCUAAAAAGACUGUUUCCUUUCCCUUUCCUCUUUCUUUAUAUGUGGGAAUUUAUAGAUGAAAAAUUUUACUUUGAUGGGAGAGAGUUUCAGAAUUAACCUCUGGGUUGAAAUGCUGUAGCCGGACAUGUCUUCACCACUUUCAGCUUCUUUGUCAACUGGACAUCUUUUUCUUUAAUUUGUGAAAGUCAUGCUAAUUACCACAAGGGUGUAGAAAAAUAGGGCACCAGUAGGUUUGGACCUCACGAAUAUCUUUGUUCAGGACAAAUUAGGUACUAAUAGUUUCCAAGAGAUGCCAGUUCAUCCUCCAUAUUUAUCUCGCCAUUCUUUUUGUUUUUGAGAUGAGGACAGAUUUUUGCACGUUUUGUACAACUAUCAAGUCAUUAAUUAAGAAGAUAGAGACAACCUUCUAGGUAGCAAGAGCAGCCUUAUUCCAUGAACCCAUGAUGCCUGACAACAGAGAUCUUGGCUAAGGUGAAGGCAUUUAAUUUAUAGUGUCUCCACCUUUCUUUCACUCUUCCCAGUGCCUGUUACUGUAAAUGCCCAUUCAAUCUGUGUCACUAUUUAUUUUGUAAUGUGAGCACCUGUGUCUCAACUACUAGACCAAAACAGCCAGCUGAUUUCACAUACCAUUAAAUAGAAAAUAGACAUCAUUGUCUCAAGCUAUAAAUUUUACACACACAUACGCACAUCUUACACUUGAAGGUAUAAGUACUUGUCCAGUUAGAAGGACUAAGAGAGAAAAAAAAUUCAGUAAGAACAAUAUUCAAUUUUUUUUUUUUCAGAAUGCCUCAACUUUAACAUAGAGAUGUGGUA
rnacentral:lncRNA from 1 species